ACGUAACGCUAGCAUGAUCGCUGACAUCACUAAAUGCUGAAUAAUUAAUUGCAUUUUGAUGCGUUUUUUUUUUCUUCUAGAAGGUUUAGCUGCAAAUCAACGAGAUUUCGCCACGUGUACUAUCUCGUGGUCUGUCCAAGUCCACAGGUCCCACACCUCCGUAUAUUUUAGUUUCUUUAAAAUUAAAAUGCAUUGUGUUGAAAUAGUAGUAUAAAUUUGCCAAGCAUAUAAAUAUACUGAAAUCGCUCUCUAUAAAUAUUAAAGUUGAAUGAGCAACAAUUGAAUAUUAAUUUGGUUGAGUAAUUUCAUUGUCAUAUUACGAAGUACAAUAUUCGUUUAAACAUAAAAAACAAUUGUUGGAAAAGCUAUUACGACGUACAAUGUUAUUUUACUACUAUCAAAUUACAAACUUUAUCAUCAAUCAUCACACGUGAGAUGCCUCAAUAAAUUUCGUGUACCAUAAUAAAUACAGUAAUUUCCAUGGCAAUGGGUCCCCAAAUAAUUAAUUACGGCUUGAUAGUCAAAGUUAGCAUUCUUGGAAACUAUUAUUUGGAACUAUCCCAAUCAUCAAUUAGUAUGAUACCGCACUCAUAUGUAUUAUGGAUAAUAUUUAAAAUAGUCUAAAUCUUUAUUAUAUCAAUAAGCGAUCAAUUAGGCAAUCGUGUACACCUAUCUAUCUAUUAUCUAUAUUGUUGAAAAUUAUCAACGAUUGAUCGUGGCAUACAUAUAUAUUUAUAAUAUUAUUUGAAUUUAGUGCUAAUUUUUACUAAAUUUAUAUCUAAAUUACCCUAUACUACUAGUACAAUUUCACUGAUGCACGACGAGUAUCGAAAUUAAAUGACAUAUUUAAAUAAAUAAGUAUAACUACUAAACAGUUAAAAUAUAAGUAAUUACAAAAUAUAUUUUAAAAAUAAUAAAAUAAUUCGUAUCAAUUACUCAAUAAAAUCAUGGAUUUGAAAACGUAAAUUUUCAAUUUUGUAUAAAGUGUAAUGAUUAUAGUUAUUAAAUAAUUAAAAAUUAUUUGAUAAUGAAAAUUAGCAUUAUACAUUAUUAUAAUUAUAAAGUAUGAUGCAUCAUAAUAAAUAAAUAAAUAAUUCACAAAUAUAAAUAAAAAAAUAAUAUUUGAAAUUAUAUUUUUUUAAUAUAUAUAUAUACUAAUUUCAUCUACAAAGUUAUAUUUAAAUUAAUACAAAAACUUUAUUUUUAAAAAAGAGUAAUAAAAUGAACCAAUAUAUGUUCCUUCACCUCUACUACAUUUAAUACACAAACACAUGAUAUUUACUUAUUUUUUUUAUCUAAAAAUACAAAAAAAAAAUAAUGUAAUAAAAAAAGUAAACAUGUUAUUAAAGAGAAAAAUUAACACUCAUUAGAGUAGAGGGGAAAGAACAAAAUAUAUUUUAAAAUUUUAAAUUAUCAUAACUUAUUCAUUAUAAAUUAAUUUUUUAUCAAAAGAGGAAAGAUAAGUGAUUAAUUUUGUAGUAGAGAGAGAGAAAAAAAAAUAUAAUAACAACAAUAAUAAUAUUGUAAAAGAGGAAGUGAUAAAAAUAUAAAAGAAUAGAGAAAAAGAAAGAGGAGAUAGAAAAAUAACUACCAUAAAAUGAAUUACAAUAACUUAUUUGUUUCAAAUUCAUACUUUAUGAUUUUUAGACCAAAUUAAAAAUCUUGUCAUUAUCUUUAAUUUAAGAUGCAUAUAAAAUAUCUUUCCAUAUAUCAAUUUUAAUUAUUUUUAUAAAAUUACUAAAAUACGAAACAGAGAAGAACAGAAGAGAGAGAAAUUAUAUAAGAAAAUUGUGAAAAACGUGUGACACGGAGAGGAGAGAGAAAAUGUAACACCCCGAUAAUUUAGAUUUAUUUUAUAAGUUUAAUUAAUAGUAUUUUCUUGUAUAGCUUAUUUUUUUAAAUAAUUACAUGAUACAUAUAGAUAUGCACCAUUAAUUUUAUCUAGACUAUUAUUAUUAUUAUUAUUAUUAUUAUUAUUAUUAUUAUUAUUAUUAUUAUUAUUAUUAUUAUUAUUAGUACUCCCUCCGUCCGCCAAAAGUAUUCCACUUUGGCCGGGCACGGAGUUUAAUAAAAUGUGUGAUGAUAUUGAUGUAGUGGAGAAAGGAUCCCACUACUUUAUGAGAUGUGUGGUUGAGAUUGAAUUUGAGGUGGGUUUUUUGUAAAUAAAGAGUGUUUGUAAGGAUAAAAUAUAAAGGUGGAUGGUGGGACCAUGACUUAAAAAGGAAAGUGGAAUACUUUUUGCGGACGCCAAAUAUAGUAAUUGUGGAAUACUUUUAGCGGACGGGGGGAGUAUUAUUUUUGUUUCCUAUUAGAACUAGAACUCUUUAAAAACUAGUAUAAAUAUGGGAUCUAUUUAGAGAGAGCAGAGAGGGCCAGAAACGUGUAGGCAGUUUCUCCCUUGGGACUUUCAUAGAACGUUGUCCAUCCAACGGUGAAAGCUGAGCGGGAUACAGUUCAGAAGAUCUGAGCUGGAGUCAGAUUUUCGCAGGAAAUUAAGUUCUGGCAGUUUCGGGAGAACGGCCAUAACUUCCUCCACAGAACUCCGAUUCAAGCGAAACAGGCGGCCACGGAAAUCUCUCUCGAAGACGAAGAAGUCGUAUUUCUGGGAAAAAUACGAUUUGAGGACGUUUGAGGCUUCAAACGAAGGCUUGAAGCUGACUGGUCUGUUCAGCUGCGAUUUUGACGAAUUCUUCUGAAUUCUUCAGGUGCGGCGCUAUGAAGACCUUCAUUCCGGAUUUUAGUUAAUUGCCUUCGACUUUAAGUUUUGCAGUUUCAGAGUCGAAGUGGCCAUGGAAGUGGAGAAUGACUAGGGAUAAGGAUUUUUCAUUGAACAUUUUAGUUGAACUUAUUAAGUUUUAUUUUAUUUUUAUGAUACUACUUUAGUUUUGGCAAAUUGAUUUUUAAAUUAGUUAAAUUUUAAUAGUCAAGAAAUUUUAUUUUAUCAAUUAGUUCUUAAAAUUUUGGAUUGCAAAGUUUAUAAAAAUCGGGGUGUUACAGAAAAUGUAAGAAAAUACAUGGUAGAAGAAAAGAGAAAAUCGUAUAUAUAUAGAUAGAUAAGUAUUGUUUAUAUAAUUAUAUUCCACUUUUCAAAAUAUAAAAAAUAUGCAUGUUCAAAAUAAUUAUUUGAAUAACGAUAUAAUGUCUCCACAUAUUAAUUAUAUAUAGGGUGUGUUAGAAUAUUUUCGUACUCUUUAUGAUUGUCAUUGUGUACCCAAUAUGAGUGUUUUCCGAUAUUCUAAUUGGCAUAUUUGAACUAUCGCUCCAUGAAUUGCUUCCAAAGUUCAAAGUUGUAUGAAGACAUCUAAGCAGCCUUCCUUGCGGGUUUUUAGAUAGAGUUGGAGAUAUACUAUAUCUUUCUUAGAGAUAUAUAUUAAACCGAAUAUUCAGAUUGAGAUGGGAUCUUUCGGUUGGUGCUUACAAAUAUCCUUCAGCAGACGUGCAACCCUGAUCUCUAAGAGUCCUAUUCGUGCUUGGACUUAUCUAGGGUUUGGCUAUAUAUUGAAGAUGAAGAGGAUUCGUUUUUGCUGCUGCUUUUACUGAUACUCUACUUCAUAUUGAGAGAAAUUUUGUACAAGAGCAGAGAGCAUACAGUUUGUGUUGAGUGUGUUCUUGUUUGUUGCUUAUUUCUUUUGUAAGCUUGGGUCAUGAGUUUGUUCUUUUGUGCAUGUUUCAAUUGCUCCAGCCUAUUGUACUAAUAUUAUUGAUUGGGUUUGAGCGUUGAAUGUGUAGCAUUCAAGCUUAGGGGGUGAGUUGUUAGCUUGCUCUCAAUUGUUCACAUAGGUAGCGGUUUGGGAAGAUAUAGAGGCUAGGAAGAAUAGGGGUGUACGUGCAGACCCAACCCGAACCCGUCGAACCCACCCGGAUCAGACCGACCCAAGACCUAUGUUCGGUCCGGUCCGGGUCAAUUUUCUUGGACCGAACUUUUGUCGGGUCGGUCCGGGUCGAAAUCCGGUCGAACUCAUCGAACCCGGACCGACCCAUAUAUUUAUAAAUUAAUUAUUUUUUUAUAUAUGUAAUAUUUAAAAUAAUAUUAAUAAAAUUUAAAAUUCAGAUUUCUAA